UGGGGAAUAUUGGACAAUGGGCGCAAGCCUGAUCCAGCCAUGCCGCGUGGAUGAUGAAGGCCUUAGGGUUGUAAAAUCCUUUCGUGGGGGACGAUAAUGACGGUACCCCAAGAAGAAGCUCCGGCUAACUUCGUGCCAGCAGCCGCGGUAAUACGAAGGGGGCUAGCGUUGUUCGGAUUUACUGGGCGUAAAGCGCGUGUAGGCGGGUCGUUAAGUUGGGGGUGAAAUCCCGAGGCUCAACCUCGGAACUGCCUUCAAAACUGGCGACCUGGACUCAAGCAGAGGCAAGUGGAAUUGCGAGUGUAGAGGUGAAAUUCGUAGAUAUUCGCAGGAACACCAGUGGCGAAGGCGACUUGCUGGGCUUGUAAUGACGCUGAGACGCGAAAGCGUGGGGAGCAAACAGGAUUAGAUACCCCGGUAGUCCCUGAG
rnacentral:rRNA from 1 species